UUAUUCUUUCUGUACACUUCAAUACAAUCCGAUUCGAUAUGAAAAAAAAUAAAAAUUUGUGUACAUCUGGUUUAGUUACUAACCUUUAAUUUUUUACCUGUUUGUAGAUGAUAACUUUUAUCAUUAAACAUAGAUAACGUUUAUAUAUAUUUGGAGUAGUUUUUGUUAUUAACGGACUAACUUGUAAUCAUUUUAGGACAAUAGUACUAUGAACAUACAAUAUUUGUUGUACAUCCGAUUUCUUACAAAAAAAAAAAAAAAAAAGGGUGUAAAAUAAUUCAUUUUUAAUUAAUUUGAAUUUAUUUUUAUUCCAAUAAUAAACUACCACCUAAUAGGAUUAGCAAGUUGCAAUCCACUAUUAACCAUUUUAAUAUUUCAUCGGAUCAUUGAUCAAAAAAAAGAAAAAAUAAAAAAUUCAUCGGAUCAUAUUAGAUCUUUAAUUUAUUAACAUUGACUUAUUACUCCCAAGUAAAAUUCCCUAAAGCUAUAAAGAACCGAAGGGACAAGUACUCCACAUUUAUUUCCAAUAAAUUUAAAAUAAAAACACCAUCAUCCUCAACACCUGAAUCUUCUCCACAUUUAUUUUCAAUAAAAAUGAAAAAGAAACACCAUUAUCCUCAACUCCACAACGCCAAAUUCUCCUCCAAUACCCGCGAAAUGGUGAAUUAUUUUUGGCUCGAAAAAGUUUCCACCAUGAAUCAGCAGUUACUCCACUUUUCAGUUGUUAAUCUCACUAUACAACACACUAAUCACCUUAAAAUCAUCAUACCCUCAAUCGGUUAUUCAUCUCCUUCCUUUCUACUCAUCAGGAAGUAGCUAGGGAAUUCAUGGUGAGGGAUGAUGGUCUUGUUUUGAAUGAUAAGGUAGCCAGACACUUGUUUUUUAGGCUUAUUUUAGGCUUGUGAGAUUGCUCUAGGACCAUGAAUGUACAAUGAGAAUUCAUUGCAAGAGGAUGGAAAUUACCCUUCUGUGGAUUAACUUAAAAAGAAUCUUCAAAUUGCAGAUGGUAUUCAAUAAUGAAAAGGAUUAUCAUUGUAAAAGAGGAUUUUUUGUAAAAAGAAGCAGUGCCUAUCGAAUUCAGCUUCCCAGUGUGGCAGUGUUUAAAUGCCUCAACUAAGUACUCAUGGUUAACUAUGAUUCUUGUGUUCUAUAUCAGGCUAAGAGAGCUCUAAGAGCAUUGAAAGGAUUGGUAAGACUGCAAGCACUUGUCAGAGGGCAUGCUGUGAGAAAGCAAGCUGCUAUAAUUCUUCGUUGUAUGCAAGCUUUAGUGAGAGUUCAAGCUCGGGUGCGAGCAAGGCGUGUGCGUUUGGCUUUAGAAAGUCAAACUAAACAGCAGAAAGCUCAUCAACAACUUCUACAGGAGGCAUGUAUUCGAGAAAUAGAGGUGAUUACUUGCUCUAUUGUCAACGUCUAUUAUCUCUUUGGUUGUUUUGAUUGGGACUGGGAUCUGGCAAUCUAAAAAUAUUAUUAAUCAGACCUUUGUAACCUUAAUUCCUCUUAGGCAACCAUCAUUACUUGGAUCGAUUUCAUGGUUUAAUAGUAACCAUGGGAUUAUACUAUACAUGAGGCUAAAUCUAUCCAACAUUUGAAAAAAAAAGCAAUUUAAGAAAUCUCUGUUUAUUGACCCCUGCUUA